rnacentral:rRNA from 1 species
CAUCAAGUCUGUCUAGCCCGGCUAGGAUUUAUUUACCCACCCUAAAAUAGAAGAGUUGACGACUUUGAGUCGCAAGUGAAGUGCGUUCUAACUUAGUUCAUAUGGAAAAGCCCCUAGGUGCAAGUAAAGCUCGUGAUGACUUAAUGGAUGCUUACUUAGUUGGUUCUCUUGGAUCAGUUUAUGAUUGAAAGAAGGUGGAAUCCGUUACGUCAGAUCGGUGAUUAGCAAGUGGAGAAAGUAGAACAGUUGGAUAAGAUCGGGGCCCAGACUCCUACGGGAGGCAACAGUGGGGAAUUUUUCGCAAUGGGCGAAAGCUUGACGGAGCAAUGCCGUGUGGAGGUAGAAGGCCCACGGGUCAUGAACUUCAUUUCCCGGAAAAGAAGCAAUGACAGUAUCUGGGGAAUAAACAUCGGCUACCUCUGUGCCAGCAGCCGCGGUAAGACAGAGGAUGCAAGCAUUAUCCGGAAUGAUUUGGCGUAAAGCGUAUGUAGGUGGCUUUUCAAGUCCGCUGUCAAGUCCCAGGGCUCAACCCUGGACAGGCGGUGGAAACUACCAAGCUGGAGUACGGUAGGGGCAGAGGGAAUUUCCGGUGGAGCGGUGAAAUGCGUAGAGAUCGGAAGAACACCAACGGCGAAAGCACUCUGCUGGGCCGACACUGAUACUAAGAGAUGAAAGCUAGGGGAGCGAAUGGAAUUAGAUACCCCAGUAGUCCUAGCCGUAAAGGAUGGAUAUUAGGCGCUGUGCGUAUCGAUCUGUGCAAUGUUGUAGCUAACGCGUUAAGUAUCCCACCAGGGGAAUACGUUCGUAAGAAUGAAACUCAAAGGAAUUGACGGGGGGGCGCAUAAGCGGUGGAGCAUGUGGUUUAAUUCGAUGCAAAGCGAAGAACCUUACCGGGGCUUGACAUGUCGCGAAUCCUCUUGAAAGAGAGGGGUGCCUUCAGGAACGCGGAUACAGGUGGUGCAUGGUUGUCGUCAGCUCGUGCGAUAAGGUGUUGGGUUAAGUCCCGCAACGAGCACAACCCUCGUGUUUAGGAGAGGAAAAGACAGAGAUAGCUUUUUACAAUCUCAAGUCGGCAAGGAAGAUAACUAUUGUAAGCAAGUCUGAGAGUAGUUGGAUCUCCAAGUAAGAGUCAAAAGAAGUAUCUUGAGAGAAGGUUUUCUAGAUUUUAAGGUGUAGGGAAGAGGCUCAACAGGUAAAAUGGUAUGGGUUCCCUGGCUCCCAGGAUUAUGGUAUUCC